rnacentral:rRNA from 1 species
AUUGAACGCUGGCGGCAGGCCUAACACAUGCAAGUCGAACGAGUGGCGGACGGGUGAGUAAUGUCUGGGAAACUGCCUGAUGGAGGGGGAUAACUACUGGAAACGGUAGCUAAUACCGCAUACCAUCGGAUGUGCCCAGAUGGGAUUAGCUAGUAGGUGGGGUAAAGGCUCACCUAGGCAACGAUCCCUAGCUGGUCUGAGAGGGUGACCGGCCACACUGGAACUGAGACACGGUCCAGACUCCUACGGGAGGCAGCAGUAGGGAAUAUUGCGCAAUGGGCGCAAGCCUGAUACAGCCAUGCCGCGUGUGUGAAGAAGGCCUUCGGGUUGUAAAGUACUUUCAGCGGGGAGGCGUUACCCGAACAGGAAGCACCGGCUAACUCCGUGCCAGCAGCCGCGGUAAUUC